UGACUAAAUUUAAUCUAUUUCACAUGCAUUUUACCUAUUGAUUAUGCUAACUUGAAUUGGUUUGGUUUAGAUUUAAAUUUUAUAUGAUAUAAUAUUGAAUGCAAGUUCAAAUUAAAUAAGGGCAUAAAUUAGUUCAAUUUUUUGUCAUAAUGCUGACAGAACUUAAUACAAGUAUAAAAUUUAUUGUUUUAUUUAUUUUAUGACUUCAAAUUAUUUACAAAUGAUUUUUUCUUUAAUGUUGUUAUGUGGAAAUCAUCCACUAAUAACAACUAAGUUUGAUUUGUUUGUGCAAAUUGAUUGUAAUGUGCAAUAGAAUAAUAAUGAAAAAUUUGCUUAUAAUUGUCCUCCUUAUGAAUCCCUAGUCAAAAGUUGCUUUUGGUUCUCAUUCUGCUAAAAUAUUCUACUUAUUAUACACUCAAAAUUUAACGUCAAAAGUUGCUUUUGGUUCUCAUUCUGCUAAAAUAUUCUACUUAUUAUACACUCAAAAUUUAACGUCAAAAGUUGCUUUUGGUUCUCAUUCUGCUAAAAUAUUCUACUUAUUAUACACUCAAAAUUUAACAACAUAAGCAUUUCAUAUUAUUUACAAAUAUAGAGAAUUGUUGAGUAUGUUCUCUUUGCUCAUGUGCCUUACAAGUUCAACUUCAAUCUAACUAUUUUUGGGUUGUAGCUUUUGUUUUUGUUUCAACUAGACAUAGAUGGUAGCUUAUAAUUAAUAUAGAUCAUUUUCUUAAAAUAUUGUACAUAACAUAUUAUACAAAGUUGUAGACCAUAUAUUUUGAAAUAGUUUUAUUUAAAUGUGUACUUGAAGUUAUUGGGCAAGAAAGUUAACUUGCUCUCAAUGUUAGUUUGAUAUGUUGGAUCAUUAUUGAAACAACAAUGAAAGUUGUGAUAGGGUGUGUUCUAUGGUCUACUGGUACCCCUACAUUUGCUUGGUAUUUUGUUAUAUGCUUUACAAUUUUUUGAUCAAUAAACUCCCAUUUGCCCUAUUAAUUGAAAAUAGCUCAUGAUACACAUGUAUACAAUAAUAAAUAAUGUACACUUGAGUGAAGUUUAAUUGAUCUCAAUAAUCUUGUAUGCUUUCGUUUAUACAAUGCUCUACUUUUCAUUUUCUACUCUACUUUUCUCUACUUUUCCUUUUCCACUCUAGCUUUCACAAUUCGAACACUCGGCAGGAACAUGACGCUAUGCGUCUCUUGUUUUUGAUUAGAAUAGAUAUCAUUUUUAGAUAGUUUACAAUAAAUAAUUAUCCUAAUACAUAGUUUAGAAUAAUAAAAUAAAUCACACAUGAUGAUGGCGGCUAAGGGAAAUCAAACAGAAUGGAAAUGCCCAUGGAGGCCAAAUCAAACACAAACAAAACGGAAAACGAACAAAAUGGAGAAUUGAAAUGCCCGUGGUGACGAAAGAAACCCUUAGCAGAAUUGAAAUGCCCGUGGUGACGAAAGAAACCCUUAGCAGAAUUGAAAUGCCCGUGGGUGGGUCAUCGUGCCGGAGCCAUUAGCUGGAAGGCCGCCGGCGACAAAGAAUAUCGCCCAUAAAAGACUAGCCGUUGAGAGAAUGAUAACGGCAAAGAAAAUUCAAACGGGAGCGUGAAAAAGCAUUUGAAUUUCAAUAUAAAUAGAAGCAAUUCAGUUUCAUUUCGUUACAGACAUUCUUUCUUUCUCUGAUUACCCCUUUCUCUCGAUGUUCUGUUUUGUGAUUGUCCCUUUCUGUCAAUGUUCUGUUCUUUCUUUCUCUCUGUUUUCUUCAAAAAAAUUUAAGUGUUUGCUUUGUUUUCAGUUUUCAUUUUUCUAGUUUUCAGCGUGCACGCUAGUCUGUCUGUCUUUUUUUUGGUAUUGCGUUUUUCUGGCAGAGCAGGGGAAAGGUAGAGCAGAGGAAGAGGCAGAGCAACCGAGGGGAAAUUCUUCUUCCAGGCAUGAGAUGCAGAACCCAGCAAGUGUACUGAUGCAGAGAGGAAGAAAUGGGAAGUUCCUUAUGACCUGCUUUGCCUUAUGACCUGCUUUGUUUAUAGCAAGUAGCUGCUCUAGAAGGAAACCAUAUUUUCAAAACAGCUAACCCAAUGUUUGAAUUCUCUGUGUUCUCAGGCAAUGAAUUAAUCUUCUCCUACACAGCUAACCCAUUUGGAUUUGCUAUCAAGCGCAGAUUCCAUGGAGAGGUUAUGUUCAACUCUUCAUAUGGUAGCUUGGUUUUCAGUAUCCGAUACGAAAUCGUUGAGGACUUGGAUGUGCUCUCUGUACCAUGACUCUAAUCCUAUGGUUGUGCAUGGAGAUGUGCACGAAUGUACUAAUGGACAGCCACAUGGAAGCUCCGAUGUCUGAUUUUGCUUAGCCAGACUCAUGCAGAGGGAAGCCACCAUGUGCUGUAGCGCGUACAUUGCACCAGCCACAUGGAAGCUCGGAUGUCUGAUUUUGCUUAGCCAGACUCAUGCAGAGGGAAGCCGCCAUGUGCUCUAGCGCGUACAUUGCACCAGGUUCACAUAGACAUGUGCUCAUAUCCCUAAAACCUCCAAGAUACAAAUAUUUGAAAAGAUUCGAUGCUAACUCUAAAAGUUCAUUUUUUCCUUUCAAAACCUAUUUUUAACCUGGGGGCAAAAAAUAGGGUGGUAGACAUGUUGCAGCCAAAAAACUGCAGUAUGAUAAGAAGGGUCCUAGGCAGCUUUUUGAAUUAGUUAUUUUUAAUCAUGGUGUAUUCAAAACAGCAAGAGAUGGAAUUAGACUUACAUUAUUUCUUUAGUUAUGUUUUGGUCAAGCAUUUUGACUUGAUAGCAUUGUAAAAUGUACAAAUAUAAUGUUUAAUAAAAAAUUUAUUGGGUUGGACUGAA